CCAGAUAAGACAGCUGAAUGAUAGUCGGGCUGAAGACUCUACUUGACUAGCUGAGAGGAGGUGCAUGGCCGUCGUCAGUUCGUACUGUGAAGCAUCCUGUUAAGUCAGGCAACGAGCGAGACCCACGCCAACAGUUGCUAGCUCGUCCUCCGGGAUGGAGAGGACACUGUUGGGACCGCCUCUGCUAAAGAGGAGGAAGGAAUGGGCAACGGUAGGUCAGCAUGCCCCGAAUUAUCUGGGCUACACGCGGGCUACAAUGGGUGGGACAAUGGGUAUCGACACCGAAAGGUGAAGGCAAUCUCCUAAACCCAUCCGUAGUUCGGAUUGUGGGCUGCAACUCGCCCACAUGAAGCUGGAAUCUGUAGUAAUCGUGUCUCAAAAUGGCACGGUGAAUAUGUCCCUGCUCCUU
rnacentral:rRNA from 1 species